rnacentral:rRNA from 1 species
GAUGAACGCUGGCGGCGUGUCUAAUACAUGCAAGUCGAGCGAAUGGAUUAAGAGCUUGCUCUUAUGAAGUUAGCGGCGGACGGGUGAGUAACACGUGGGUAACCUGCCCAUAAGACUGGGAUAACUCCGGGAAACCGGGGCUAAUACCGGAUAACAUUUUGAACCGCAUGGUUCGAAAUUGAAAGGCGGCUUCGGCUGUCACUUAUGGAUGGACCCGCGUCGCAGUAGCUAGUUGGUGAGGUAACGGCUCACCAAGGCAACGAUGAGUAGCCGACCUGAGAGGGUGAUCGGCCACACUGGGACUGAGACACGGCCCAGACUCCUACGGGAGGCAGCAGUAGGGAAUCUUCCGCAAUGGACGAAAGUCUGACGGGGCAACGCCGCGUGAGUGAUGAAGGCUUUCGGGUCGUAAAACUCUGUUGUUAGGGAAGAACAAGUGCUAGUUGAAUAAGCUGGCACCUUGACGGUACCUAACCAGAAAGCCACGGCUAACUACGUGCCAGCAGCCGCGGUAA